AUAAGUGCUGAAAGCAUCUAAGCACGAAACUUGCCCCGAGAUGAGUUCUCCCUGAGACUUUAAGUCUCCUGAAGGAACGUUAAAGACGAUGACGUUGAUAGGCCGGGUGUGUAAGCGCAGCGAUGCGUUGAGCUAACCGGUACUAAUGAACCGUGAGGCUUAACCUUACAACGCCGAAG
rnacentral:rRNA from 1 species